GGGAGGGAACUGACCUACAUUUUCAAUUGCGUGUUUUACGUGGCAAGUCACAGGGACACAAAGAGUGUGAAGCAUCGACUGAAGGACUAAAAUUCAAGCUGGCACAGCAACACUCAUCUAUGCCUUAUCACUGUCGCUCAUUUUUUAGACAUCAUUUUCUUGCAAGACUCUACUCUCCCCAUCCUAAACCUCAAAGCUGUACCAGUGAUGUUUUCCUGCAUGUUCCCUAGGCUCACAUAUCAGUAUCUGCUGUACCUCCCAGCACCUCAACCUCCAAUAUUCAGCCUAAGCUGCCGUCAUCACCACUACCACCUCAGCCUUCCAGUGUGCUCAGUGUCUUCCCGAUUCUGUGACUGGAAGGAAGGUAAGGAACAAAAGAAGCAAGUGUCUGGAGAAGACGGUUUCAGAUACAGAAAGCAGCAGACGCAAAUCUCUGAGCAGGACCUUGUUCAUGGAUGCCAGAACAUGCUAGAGUCUCCAGUAGCUGGAGAAGAGCCUGUGGGUUGCCUCUUCACUCUGUUGAUUAUGUCCUUUGCUGCGCAGAAGCUUUUUAGUUUGAGGCCCACUGACCUGGGAUAUUCUAAAAUUUGAUGAGGCCCCAGUGGAUGCUUGUACAUCUCAGUUCUAAGUCCUUCUGAUUCUUCUAUAUGAACCACCACCACAGCAUGGCAACUGACAUACGGGCGGGGUGAUUCUGCGACCCGGAAGCAAACCCGAGCUGCUGAGGCAGAGAGCGCUAGAUGUUAACGAUUAGACCAUCAGGACUGGCCCUAGAUUUAUUUUUAUUAUCUAAUUUAGUGGUGCGUAUUUGUUGUGCUUUUUUCCCUUCAUCUAUUUGAUCAAUUAUUUUUCUUGAUUUUGUAUUCUUUAGCUCUGCUGGUUUGGAAUCCCAUACAUUCUGUUUCUCCAAAAUACACUUUCGCUUUCUCUCCAUAUGCCUCCAAUAUAUACAUUAUAUUGAUCUUAAUUACAGUUUUAUAAUUUUUUAUUUUUAAUAUUAGAAAAUUAAUUUUUAUAUUACCCACAUAUAUACAAAUUUACUUCUUCACCACAGAGUCUUGCAUUUUAUUUUUUUUUCCCUCUGGAUUUUAGUUCCAUCUUCAUGAAGAACAUAUUAAAAUAUUUUUUUCAAGAAUAAUUGUGAACAGUAAACUCUCUGUUGUCUCAUGUGUGUUGCACUUGUUACUUCUGCUGCUUAACUGAGUCUUUCUUUUCUUCCUCAG
rnacentral:lncRNA from 1 species